rnacentral:rRNA from 1 species
UACGGAGGAUCCAAGCGUUAUCCGGAUUUAUUGGGUUUAAAGGGUGCGCAGGCGGAAGAUUAAGUCGGCGGUGAAAUUUUGCAGCUCAACUGUAAAAGUGCCAUCGAUACUGGUUUUCUUGAGUGUGGAUGAAGUAGGCGGAAUUUGCGGUGUAGCGGUGAAAUGCAUAGAUAUCACGAGGAACUCCGAUUGCGCAGGCAGCUUACUAGGCCAUAACUGACGCUCAGGCACGAAGGCGUGGGGAUCAAACAGGAUUAGAUA